UCCCGUUUAUCCUGCGGGAGAUUGCUGCUAUUUGGAUUCUGUUUAGCCAUGCAAGUCAGAGGGCUUCUUCGGAAGCACAGGCGGAAUGCUCAGUAACACGUCAAUAAUCUACCCUUAAGUCUAGGACAACUCCGGGAAACUGGGGCUAAACCUGGAUAGGUGAUUUCAACUGGAAUGUGUUUUCAUUUAAAGGUAACGCUUAAGGAUGAGUUGGCGGCUGAUUAGGUUGUUGGUGGGGUAAAGGCUCACCAAGCCGACGAUCAGUAGGGGCCUUGGAAGAGGUUGCCCCGAGAAGGGUACUGAGACACGGACCCUAGCCCUACGGGGUGCAGCAGGCGAGAGUUCUCUACACUGCACGCAAGUGCGAUAGGGGAAUCCAGAGUGCUCAUGUUUUACAUGGGCUUUUGCCAAAAGUAAACACUUUGGUGAAUAAGUGGUGGGUAAGACUGGUGCCAGCCGCCGCGGUAACACCAGCGCCACGAGUGGCAAUCACGAUUAUUGGGCCUAAAGCGUUCGUAGCCGGUUUCUUAAGUUCCAAGUGAAAUCGUUCCGCUUAACGGAACGGCGUGCUCGGAAUACUGGGAAACUUGGGACCGGGAGUCGUCAAAGGUAUUCCGGGGGGAGCGGUAAAAUGCUGUUAUCCCUAGAGGACCACCUGUGGCGAAGGCGUUUGACGAGAACGGAUCCGACGGUGAGGGACGAAAGCUAGGGGAGCAAACCGGAUUAGAUACCCGAGUAGUCCUAGCUGUAAACGCUGCGAGUUAGAUGUUGUAUAUUUUACGAGAAUGUACGGUGUCGAAGCGAAGGCAUUAAACUCGCCGCCUGGGAAGUACGGUCGCAAGGCUGAAACUUAAAGGAAUUGGCGGGGGAGUACCACAACAGGUGUAGCGUGCGGUUUAAUUCGAGGCGACGCGGUAAAUCUCACCAGAGGCGACGGCAGGAUGAUGGUCAGAUUAAAUGUCUUACCGGACGAGCCGAGAGGUAGUGCAUGCCCAUCGUCAGCUCGUACCGUGAGGUGUCCUCUUAAGUGAGGCAACGAGCGAGACCUGUACCCAUAAUUGCUAGCGGGUUUUUUGAAUGACCGAGCACAUUAUGGGGACCGCCUUGGUAACGAGGAGGAAGGUGCAGGCCACGAUAGGUCAGCAUGCUCCGAAUCUUCUGGGCGACACGCGCGCUUCAAUGGUAAUGACAAUGGGACGCAACUCCGAAAGGAGAAGCUAAUCCUCGAAACAUUAUCUUAGUUCGGAUUGAGGGUUGUAACUCACCCUCAUGAAGCCGGAAUCUGUAGUAAUCGUGGUUCAUGAUACCACGGUGAAUAUGUCCCUGCUCCUUGUACACACCGCCCGUCAAGUCAACCGAGCAGGGUUAGGGUGAGGUUCUGUUUUUGACAAUAUCGAACCCUGGCUCAGUGAGGUGGGCUAAGUCGUCACAAGGUA
rnacentral:rRNA from 1 species